rnacentral:rRNA from 1 species
ACAACGGAGAGUUUGAUCCUGGCUCAGGACGAACGCUGGCGGCGUGCUUAACACAUGCAAGUCAAGGAGAAAGUUCCUUUCGGGGAAUGAUUAAACUGGCGCACGGGUGAGUAAUAUAUAAGCAAUCUACCCUUAGGUAAGGAAUAACGUCGAGAAAUCGGCGCUAAUACCAUAUAAUGCAGCGGCAUCGCAUGAUGAUGUUGUUAAAGUUU